rnacentral:rRNA from 1 species
UACGAAGGGUGCAAGCGUUACUCGGAAUUACUGGGCGUAAAGCGUGCGUAGGUGGUGAGUUAAGUCUGUCGUGAAAGCCCCGGGCUCAACCUGGGAAUGGCGAUGGAUACUGGCUCGCUAGAGUGCGGUAGAGGAGAGUGGAAUUCCCGGUGUAGCAGUGAAAUGCGUAGAGAUGCGGAGGAACACCGAUGGCGAAGGCAGCCCCCUGGGUCGACACUGACGCUCAGGCACGAAAGCGUGGGGAGCAAACAGG